UAGGGAAUCUUCCGCAAUGGGCGAAAGCCUGACGGAGCAACGCCGCGUGAGUGAUGAAGGUCUUCGGAUCGUAAAACUCUGUUAUUAGGGAAGAACAAAUGUGUAAGUAACUAUGCACGUCUUGACGGUACCUAAUCAGAAAGCCACGGCUAACUACGUGCCAGCAGCCGCGGUAAUACGUAGGUGGCAAGCGUUAUCCGGAAUUAUUGGGCGUAAAGCGCGCGUAGGCGGUUUUUUAAGUCGGAUGUGAAAGCCCACGGCUCAACCGGGGAGGGUCAUUGGAAACUGGAAAACUUGAGUGCAGAAGAGGAAAGUGGAAUUCCAUGUGUAGCGGUGAAAUGCGCAGAGAUAUGGAGGAACACCAGUGGCGAAGGCGACUUUCUGGUCUGUAACUGACGCUGAUGUGCGAAAGCGUGGGGAUCAAACAGG
rnacentral:rRNA from 1 species